GACGAACGCUGGCGGCGUGCUUAACACAUGCAAGUCGAACGGAAAGGCCCUGCUUUUGUGGGGUGCUCGAGUGGCGAACGGGUGAGUAACACGUGAGUAACCUGCCCUUGACUUUGGGAUAACUUCAGGAAACUGGGGCUAAUACCGGAUAGGAGCUCCUGCUGCAUGGUGGGGGUUGGAAAGUUUCGGCGGUUGGGGAUGGACUCGCGGCUUAUCAGCUUGUUGGUGGGGUAGUGGCUUACCAAGGCUUUGACGGGUAGCCGGCCUGAGAGGGUGACCGGCCACAUUGGGACUGAGAUACGGCGCAGACUCGUACGGGAGGCAGCAGUGGGGAAUAUUGCACAAUGGGCGGAAGCCUGAUGCAGAAACGCCGCGUGCGGGAUGACGGCCUGCGGGUUGUAAACCGCUUUCGCCUGUGACGAAGCGUGAGUGACGGUAAUGGGUAAAGAAGCACCGGCUAACUACGUG
rnacentral:rRNA from 1 species